UUUCUACUCUCUCCGUCCGAAAAUACUUGUCAUUAAAAUGGAUAAAAAGAGAUGUAUCUAAAAUUAAAAUACGUCUAGAUACAUUUCCUUUUAUCCAUUUUGAUCACAAGUAUUUCCGGACGGAAGGAGUAUUUG
rnacentral:pre_miRNA from 1 species